CCUACGGGAGGCAGCAGUGGGGAAUAUUGGACAAUGGGGGGAACCCUGAUCCAGCCAUGCCGCGUGUGUGAAGAAGGCCCUCGGGUUGUAAAGCACUUUCAGUGAGGAAGAACGCCUGGUGGUUAAUACCCAUCAGGAAAGACAUCACUCACAGAAGAAGCACCGGCUAACUCCGUGCCAGCAGCCGCGGUAAUACGGAGGGUGCGAGCGUUAAUCGGAAUUACUGGGCGUAAAGCGCGCGUAGGUGGCUUGAUAAGCCGGUUGUGAAAGCCCCGGGCUCAACCUGGGAACGGCAUCCGGAACUGUCAAGCUAGAGUGCAGGAGAGGAAGGUAGAAUUCCCGGUGUAGCGGUGAAAUGCGUAGAGCUCGGGAGGAAUACCAGUGGCGAAGGCGGCCUUCUGGACUGACACUGACACUGAGGUGCGAAAGCGUGGGUAGCAAACAGGAUUAGAUACCCUUGUAGUC
rnacentral:rRNA from 1 species